AUAAACUCAUUGAUGAAAACGCACCAAUUAAAUAUCCGUUACCCGCUUCAACUAAUGUUCUUUACCUCGUGGGAUACUCCAAAGAACUUAACACGUCACGGUAUUCAUGCGUAGCGUCUCGUUUCUUAAAAUUCGGGGGAGGCUUCAUACACCGGACCCUGAUCUUAAGACCUGCAGAUUCAGAAGGAAAGCCGGACGAGAUAAUACCCAUUAGGAUACAAGCUAAAUUGUGCUAUAUAACAAUGAAUUUAUCUGUAACCCCUGACCUGAUAGCAAAGGCUGAUGCAAAGUCACAGUAUCUGCUGUUUCAUCAGACUUGGAAUACCAUGCUACUGACGGAAUUGGUAGAUAAAGUACAAGAGCCACUGCUUUGUUCUCUUUGGGCAAAGUAUAAAAAUGCACGUGAACAUCUCAUGGACACUACCACACUGGAUC